ACCUGGGGGAGUGGGAGAGGGUGAGUGAGGCCCCCAGCUGAUCUACCCCUAAUCUGAGAUGCAGAAAAGGGCUGGAUGGCCCAACAGGUUCACUUGUGGCUAGCAGCCCCAGAGGCCACCCUGCUGCCUCCUUGAGACUUCAUUUGCUGUCCCACCCUAACGUUAUGGAGCUGCAUGGUCCACCAGCUGGCCACGCUGGCCCCAUGUGGCUAAUGGUCCCAAGCGAGAUGAUGUGGAAACAAGACUGUGAAGCAUCUCAAUGUGACUUCUCCUUCAACUACAAGUUGAAAUGAUGCUCUGGAUACACUGUAUUAGUAUGCAUAUAAUUUAACCGACUUUUCAGUUUCCUAGCAUGUCUACUAGAGAUUUUUAAAAUUUAUAAAUGUGACUUGUAUUAUUUCUAAUGAACAGUGCUAGACUAGGAGAAUGGAUGCAACGGACUGCUGUCCCUGCGAGGGAUGUGAAAUGCACGACUGGGGCUUUUCGUGUGGUUGCUUCUUCAGCAGAGAGGCCAGCAAGCUGUGGCCCACGGGACAAGUUGCCUGACACCUGAUUCUGCCAGGACCUUACUGUUCAGUGACCGAGGAUGAGACCCAGCUGUGUAAGAAAACAGCGCAGGUGCAAUAAUGGGAGGUCAGGGACUGGGCUGCACUUACCGAUUGAGCUCGUGGACCAUGGACGUCUCCCGGUGGCCUCUCAUCACCAUCUGCUGCUCCUUCAGCUGCUUUGCAACCUGCAGGGCACCAACCAGAGGCGUGCAGGCAGUCAUGUGACACUACACAGGGCAGAUUUCCUUCCCCAGCCCUAACACUAUUUACAGAGAGAAUCUGAGGGCUGCCACAAGGAAGUCACGUGACAAAGCCCGGUGCUGAUAGGCUGCUGGGCUCCAGCUGCUGGCCCUGCCUGCUUCUGAGCUGGCUCUCACAGGAGGAGGUCAGAGUCAGUACCCCUCAUGCCAGCAACAACCGAAUCUCGGACGUCUGUACUUCUACUUACAUCUUUGGCAGAAGAACCCGAGACCUCAAUCCACGUUUUGGAGAAGAAGGCGCAGGAGCCCAGCAUGAAGACGAUGUACACAACGGCAUGGACGGGGUCCUCCAGCACAGAGCCGAAGGACUCGGGAGGAGACAGGUAAUAGCAGAGGCCACCCACGGGGUAAGCGCGCGCCGGGCCCCCGGAGCUGGUGUCCUGCAAAGCACCAAAAUGCCUGUGAAGGCUGUUUCUUGCUUUAAAUAUACAGACUUACACUUAUUCAUUCAUUUUAUUUGAAAGGCAGAGAGAGAAAGAGACAGAUGGAGAGGUAUCUUCCACCCACUGAUUCACCCCAAAAUGGCUGGAGCUGCGCCAGCCAAAGCCAAGAGCUGGGAACUCCGUCUGGGUUCCCAUGGAAGUGGCGAGUGCACAGACCACCACCUGCUACCUCCCCGGAGCAUUAGCAGGCAGGUGGAGCGGAUGCAAGCCUGGCACUCUGCUGGGGAGGCGGGCACGGGGGCACCUCGACUCUGCACCACACCUCUGCCCUGUGGCGUUGUUUCACUGAACUUCAGUGCCAGCACAGAAAGACAGCUCUGAGCAAACCAAAGAAUACCUUUUAGUCAAGCAAUUUCCUUGCUAAAAACAAUUUGCAAUAUGCUGAAUUUGUAAAAGGCACAAUUAGAAAAUAUCUCUGGGUAACAUGAUCUGUCACAAGCAAGAACCACUGCCGAAAAUAAUUCUGUGCACAGAGUGUACUCACAGACCAGGUGCCCAGCAGGCUAACCAGCAGGUUGCCGCUGAAGCGCGCGGACAGCAUCUGGGAGAUGACGUACAGGUUUGACACGAGGGCGGACUGCAGGAUGAUGGGGAUGUUGGAGGUGUAGAAGAGCUUGAUGGGG